rnacentral:rRNA from 1 species
UACAGAGGGUGCAAGCGUUGUUCGGAAUUACUGGGCGUAAAGCGCACGUAGGUGGCGACGUAAGUCGGGUGUGAAAGCCCCGGGCUCAACCUGGGAAUUGCAUUCGAGACUGCAUUGCUGGAGUACGGAAGAGGAAGGCGGAAUUCCCGGUGUAGCGGUGAAAUGCGUAGAUAUCGGGAGGAACAUCAGUGGCGAAGGCGGCCUUCUGGUCCAGUACUGACGCUCAAGUGCGAAAGCGUGGGGAGCAAACAGG